rnacentral:rRNA from 1 species
GACGAACGCUGGCGGCGUGCUUAACACAUGCAAGUCGAACGGUAAGGCCCUUCGGGGUACACGAGUGGCGAACGGGUGAGUAACACGUGGGUGAUCUGCCCUGCACUUCGGGAUAAGCCUGGGAAACUGGGUCUAAUACCGGAUAGGACUCCUGGCUUCAUGGUUGGGGGUGUAAAGCUUUUGCGGUGUGGGAUGGGCCCGCGGCCUAUCAGCUUGUUGGUGGGGUAAUGGCCUACCAAGGCGACGACGGGUAGCCGGCCUGAGAGGGUGACCGGCCACACUGGGACUGAGAUACGGCCCAGACUCCUACGGGAGGCAGCAGUGGGGAAUAUUGCACAAUGGGCGCAAGCCUGAUGCAGCGACGCCGCGUGAGGGAUGACGGCCUCGGGUUGUAAACCUCUUUCAAUAGGACGAAGCGCAAGUGACGGUACCUAUAGAAGAAGGACCGGCCAACUACGUGCCAGCAGCCGCGGUAA